UACGUAGGUGGCAAGCGUUGUCCGGAAUUAUUGGGCGUAAAGCGCGCGCAGGUGGUUCUUUAAGUCUGAUGUGAAAGCCCCCGGCUCAACCGGGGAGGGUCAUUGGAAACUGGGGAACUUGAGUGCAGAAGAGGAUAGUGGAAUUCCAAGUGUAGCGGUGAAAUGCGUAGAGAUUUGGAGGAACACCAGUGGCGAAGGCGACUGUCUGGUCUGUAACUGACACUGAGGCACGAAAGCGUAGGGAUCAAACAGG
rnacentral:rRNA from 1 species